CACUACUGUUAAAUAGGCAGAGCUAAGACUUAGGGGACUGGCAGACUAUUGCAAAAAGGGCACGGGGCAGAGGGACUAUGUUGUGAGCCUGCGAAAGAAGUUUGUGUGGGGACUGUGGGCAGUGAACGCGUUGGGAACAAUAUGGAAAACUGGGAGCCGCCUUGGAAUCUACAGGGCCGGGCUGAAGAAAAGAAGAAUGGUAUUCACGCAGUUCCCAUUUUACAGAUGAAAACAAGAGGACUUUUUCUGUGAAGUCAAGAAAGUGGUUACAAUGGUACUUUCAGCCUGUCCGAAUUAUGUAUUGCCCCUCCCCUUUUUAUUAAUAACAUUGAAGUGUGAUGGGACAACCACUGAAGCCGUCAGUUGAAACCUGCUGGGACUUUUUAGCCAUUCUCUUCAACAUAAAGAAUGGGUGUUUUUGGAGGGGGUGAGAGGAAUGGGGAAAUGUUGUCAAAGAGUACAAUGUUUUAGUUGAGACAGGAAGAAUAUAUUUUGUUGAGAUCUACAGCACAGCAUGGUGACUGUAGUUAACAAUGAAGUAUUGUGUAUUUCCAAAUUGCUAAGACAAUAAAUUUCAAAUGUUCUCACCACAAAAAAGAUAGGUUUUGAGGUGAUGAAUCUA
rnacentral:lncRNA from 10 species